rnacentral:rRNA from 1 species
CUACGGGGGGCUGCAGUGAGGAAUAUUGCACAAUGGGGGGAACCCUGAUGCAGCAACGCCGCGUGGAGGAUGACGCAUUUCGGUGUGUAAACUCCUUUUAUAUGUCAAGAAAAUGACGGUAGCAUAUGAAUAAGCACCGGCUAACUCCGUGCCAGCAGCCGCGGUAAUACGGAGGGUGCAAGCGUUACUCGGAAUCACUGGGCGUAAAGGACGCGUAGGCGGGUUGGAAAGUCAGGUGUGAAAUCCUACAGCUUAACUGUGGAACUGCACUUGAAACUUCUAAUCUAGAGUAUGGGAGGGGGAGGUGGAAUUAGUGGUGUAGGGGUAAAAUCCGUAGAUAUCACUAGGAAUACCUAAAGCGAAGGCGAUCUCCUGGAACAUUACUGACGCUAAGGCGUGAAAGCGUGGGGAGCAAACAGGAUUAGAUACCCGCGUAGUC